GCCGGGUGCAAUGGCGCGUGCCUGUAGUCCCAGCUACUCAGGAGGCUGAGGUGGGAGGAUCGCUUCAGCUCAGGAGUUCUGGGCUGUAGUGAAUUAUGCUGAUCGGGUGUCCGCACUAAGUUCGGCUUCAAUAUGGUGACCUCCCAGGAGCAGGGGACCACCAGCUUGCCUAAGGAGGGGUGAACUGGCCCAGGUCGGAAACGGAGCAGGUCAAAACUCCCGUGCUGAUCAGUAGUGGGAUCGUGCCUGUGAAUAGCCACUGCACUCCAGCCUGGGCAACAUAGCAAGACUCCAUCUCU
rnacentral:SRP_RNA from 1 species